GGGUAGCGGUGAGGAGCAGGGCAGAGUCCAAUGCCUGCCCUCAGGGAGCUCAAUUUAUAUUCCCACUAACAAUGUAUAAGAAUUCCCCCUUCUCCACAUCCUUGCCAACACUUGUUAUCUUUUGUCUUUUGGAUAAUAGCCAUUCUAAUUGGGGUGAGUUGAUAUCUCAUUGUGGUUUUGAUUUGUAUUUCCCUGAUGGCUAGUGAUGUUGAGCAGUUUUUCAUAUACCUGUUGGACAUAUGUAGAAGACCUGAAAAGCACAGUCAAUAAAAGUAAAAAUACACAAAUAGGAUUAUAUAAAACUAAAAAGCUUCUGCACCACAAACGAGGCAAUCAACAAAGUAAAGGGACAAUCAGAAGAAUGGAAGAAAAUAUUUGCAAUCUAUUUGAUAUGGUUUGGCUGUGUCCCCACCCAAAUAUCAUCUCGAAUUGUAGUUCCCAUAAUCCCCAUGUGUAGUGGGAGGGACCUGGUGGGAGGUAAUUGAAUCAUGGGGGUGGUUACCUUCAUGCUUUUCUCCUGAUAGUGAGUUCUCACGAGAUCUGAUGCUUUUAUAAGGGGCUUUUUCCCCUUUGCUCGGCACUUCUCCUUGAUGCUGCCAUGUGAAGAAGGAUGUGUUUGCUUCCCCUUCUGCCAUGA
rnacentral:lncRNA from 1 species